rnacentral:rRNA from 1 species
AUUGAACGCUGGCGGCAGGCCUAACACAUGCAAGUCGAACGAGUGGCGGACGGGUGAGUAAUGUCUGGGAAACUGCCUGAUGGAGGGGGAUAACUACUGGAAACGGUAGCUAAUACCGCAUACCAUCAGAUGUGCCCUGAUGGGAUUAGCUAGUUGGGGGGGUAACGUCUCACCAAGGCGACGAUCCCUAGCUGGUCUGUGAGGAUGACGAGCCACACUGGAACUGAGACACGGUCCAGACGCAGACGGGAGUCAGCAGUGGGGAAGAUUUCACAAUGGGCGCAAGCCUGAUGCAGCCAUGCCGCGUGUAUGAAGAAGGCCUUCGGGUUGUAAAGUACUUUCAGCGGGGAGGCGUUACCCGCAGAAGAAGCACCGGCUAACUCCGUGCCAGCCGCCGCGGUAAUUC